rnacentral:rRNA from 1 species
UACGAAGGGGGCUAGCGUUGUUCGGAAUCACUGGGCGUAAAGGGUGCGCAGGCGGAUUUUUAAGUCAGGGGUGAAAUCCCGAGGCUCAACCUCGGAACUGCCUUUGAUACUGGGGAUCUUGAGUCCGGAAGAGGUGAGUGGAACUGCGAGUGUAGAGGUGAAAUUCGUAGAUAUUCGCAAGAACACCGGUGGCGAAAGCGGCUCACUGGACCAUAACUGACGCUGAUGCACGAAAGCUAGGGGAGCAAACAGG